CCUGACCCACCGUCAUAGAAGGAUCCAGAUGACAGUGAAACACUCCUCCAAGAAGAAACUUCCUUGGACUUUAAUGGUGGUGAAGGGGUCUUGUUUGCAUCAUUAGUUGAUGAUCGAAAAAAGAAGAAGUUGUUCUUCAUCAUCUCUAUGUAUGGAGACUGUACAUGAAUCAAACUAGUGUCCAUGAGAUUUCAAAGGACAAAGCAAAACACUCAUAAACAGCCACUCACAAAU
rnacentral:lncRNA from 1 species